CACGUAGGGUGCGAGCGUUGUCCGGAAUUAUUGGGCGUAAAGAGCUCGUAGGCGGUCUGUUACGUCCGCUGUGAAAACCCAGGGCUUAACCCUGGGCUUGCAGUGGAUACGGGCAGACUAGAGGCAGGUAGGGGAGAAUGGAAUUCCCGGUGUAGCGGUGAAAUGCGCAGAUAUCGGGAGGAACACCGGUGGCGAAGGCGGUUCUCUGGGCCUGACCUGACGCUGAGGAGCGAAAGCGUGGGGAGCGAACAGG
rnacentral:rRNA from 1 species